rnacentral:rRNA from 1 species
UACGUAGGGUGCGAGCGUUACUCGGAAUUACUGGGCGUAAAGCGUGCGCAGGCGGUUUUGUAAGCCAGGUGUGAAAUCCCCGGGCUCAACCUGGGAAUGGCAUUUGGGACUGCAAGGCUGGAGUGCGGCAGAGGAGACUGGAAUUCCUGGUGUAGCAGUGAAAUGCGUAGAUAUCAGGAGGAACACCGAUGGCGAAGGCAGGUCUCUGGGCUGACACUGACGCUCAUGCACGAAAGCAUGGGGAGCAAACAGG